UACGUAGGGGGCGAGCGUUGUCCGGAUUUAUUGGGCGUAAAGAGCUCGUAGGCGGUUCGAUAAGUCGGACGUGAAAUCUCCACGCUCAACGUGGAGGGGCCGUUCGAUACUGUCGUGACUCGAGUCCGGUAGGGGAGUGUGGAAUUCCCGGUGUAGCGGUGAAAUGCGCAGAUACCAGGAGGAACACCAAUGGCGAAGGCAGCACUCUGGGACGUGACUGACGCUGAGGCGCGAAAGCGUGGGGAGCAAACAGG
rnacentral:rRNA from 1 species